GCCCAGGUGGUGAAAUUGGUAGACACGCUAGACUUAGGAUCUAGUGCUUCGCGGCGUGGAGGUUCAAGUCCUCUCCUGGGCACCA
rnacentral:tRNA from 2 species